rnacentral:lncRNA from 1 species
GAUAUCCUCAAAUUCCUUGCAGCAGAACCCCACUUGAAUGGCACCAACCUUGACUUCCAAAUGGAACAGUACAUUACAGAAGGAAAAGUGGUGGCAUCUACAUCAUAAAUCUGAAAAGGACCUGGAAGAAGAUUCUGCCAUUGUUGCCAUUGAAAACCAGACUGAUGCUAGUAUUAUAUCUUCCAGGAAUACUGGCCAGUGGGCUGUGCUAAAGUUUGCUGUUUCCACUGGGGCCACUCUUAUUGCUGGGCACUUCACUCCUGGAACUUUCACUAAUCAGAUCCAGGCAGCCUUCCAGGAGCCACGUCUGCUGGUGGUUACUGAUCCCAGGGCUGACCACUAACCUCUCACAGAGGCAUCUUAUAUUAACUUGCCUAUCAUUGCUCUGGGUCACACAGAGUCUCCCCUGCACUGUGUGGACACUGCCAUCCCAUGCAACAACCCAGGAGUUCCCUCAGGGGGUCUAGUGUAAUGGAUGCUGGCCCAGGAGGUUCUGCACGUGCGUUGUACCACCUCCCGUGAACACCCAUGGGAGUUAUGCCUGAUCUCUAUUUCUGCAGAGAUCCUGAAAAGAUUGAAAACGAAGAGCAGGCUGCUGGAGAAAAGGCUGUGACCAAGGAGGAACUUCAGGGUGAAUGGACUGCGCCAGCUCCUGAGUCUACUGCUAUUCAACCUGAGGGUACAGACUGGUCUGAAGGCAUGCAGGUGCCCUUUGUACCUAUUCAAUAAUUCUCUACUCAAGUUUGGAGCACUCAGCCUGCCACUGGAGGCUGGUCUGUAGCAGUCACUCUCAGAUAGCUGACUGGAUAGGAAUAACCACUGAGUGGUCUUAA